UUCUGGCUCAGGAUGAACGCUGGCGGCGUGCUUAACACAUGCAAGUCGAACGAGGGACUUCGGAUGAAAUUUCGGAUGGAUCCGGUUUCCGAGUGGCGGACGGGUGAGUAACGCGUGGGUAACCUGCCUUACACAGGGGGACAACAGAGAGAAAUUUCUGCUAAUACCGCAUAACCCGCUAGGGCCGCAUGGCCCGGACGGAAAAGAUUUAUCGGUGUAAGAUGGACCCGCGUCUGAUUAGCCAGUUGGCGGGGUAACGGCCCACCAAAGCGACGAUCAGUAGCCGAACUGAGAGGUUGACCGGCCACAUUGGGACUGAGACACGGCCCAGACUCCUACGGGAGGCAGCAGUGGGGAAUAUUGCACAAUGGGGGGAACCCUGAUGCAGCCAACGCCGCGUGAGUGAAGAAGUAUUUCGGUAUGUAAAGCUCUAUCAGCAGGGAAGAGAUUGACGGUACCUGCACAAGAAGCCCCGGCUAACUACGUGCCAGCAGCCGC
rnacentral:rRNA from 1 species